UCUUUCCAAACAUGGCGGCGUCCUGCAUUUCGUGUGUGCGUCGUAGUGUCGAGUUUUGUUCAUGCGGUCGACCUUUACUGCGUUACCUCGCAUUGUGUGUUGUGUGUUGCGGUUACUGACGUAAGCGCAAGUUCUUCACUGAGUAUGAUCCGCGGCACCGUGCAAAUAGUCACCAGAUGCCGGCCGUGCGACUCCGUUCUCUGCGACUCCUUUGUUCGGUGUGAUCGAGGGACGUGAUUCUUAGCUUUGGAGACCCUCUUUACACCGUGCCCUCUUCAAACGUUUCCACACAUCAGUGAGUAGCAGCACCGCAAUCUUUACUCGACGGCACGCUCCGUGGGCCUAGAAAAUGCCUUGACGGUCGAGCACUUCGGGAGCUAUACCGGCGGACAGCCGGAUGCGGGUAGCUUGGACGUUCCUUGCUCUGCGCAUCGCUUGAAAACCGGCGGUCAUCCUGCAGUGCACGCUUCCAGCGUGCUUUCUUGCCAGAGCCACCUCCCCUGCUGGUGAUGACCAUAUGCAGCCAAUGCUGAUGUGAACCCGAGUGAUUAACAAAUGCAGAUCUGCAAAGGAGCUGUCCUGAGGCACCAUGCUUACUCAAGUCAUGCAGCGAGAGUCAGCAUGCCUGGAAAAGUACUUCAAAGCACACCCCAUCUGGCUGACUGCACCACCUCAAGAAAACUGCCUUUCUCCCAUCUGCAAGUUCCUAAGAAGUUACUUUAUGAAGCAAGCCAGCAGGGCGUGCGUGUUAGGCAUGGCAGCAUGGAGAACAAAUAAACAUAAGUAUUUGGUGCAAGA
rnacentral:lncRNA from 1 species